rnacentral:lncRNA from 1 species
UCGGAUCUGCGAAAUUGGAAAUUUCAUUUCUGUUUUCUUCUAGUUCUUUUCUUGAUCAUUUCCAACAUUUUUUCAAGUUUCUGAAGAAAUGAAGGCAACUAGAUGUUGUACUCAACCAACUUUAAGGCAACCCCUUUUCCUCUGUAACUAAUAAGACAACUUGAUUAUUGUUUACCAACUUUAGUAUUUCAAUUUGCAAUUGUUAAUUCACUUUCACUAAUAUAACACUAAUUCUUAAACAAACACCGCCUAGACGACAUGAUUAUAGUUCAAUAUAUUUGGUGUUUCAAAAUUGUUGAUUCACCUUUGCUAAAGUAAUAGUAAUUCAAAACCGACAGUUAUUUUGGAUCUUUCAUUGUUGUUUUUUAAUUUCUUGAUAUUAAAUUAGCCAGGAAACGAAUAGUUGAAUUUUUCUUUUCUUAUAGUUGAUCCAAACACCCUUCUUAUAAACUCUUCGUUUUCUACUCUUUCUUCAUCUCUCUCUCUAUAUAUAUGCUCAACUUCUCAUCGAAACUUAGAUGCUUAUUUAGAUGCUUUAACCCUCACCAUCCCAAACAAUGAUCUUUCCUUUUAGAGAGGGAGUACAACUAUUAGCACUAUUGUUAAAUUUUUGUUUGGUAUUAGCUUCAUUUGUUGAACUAAUCUUGUUUUGUUUAUUUUCUGAGCUCUCUUGCGUUUUGUUCAAAUUGAGCAGAAUGGACAGUGAAGANGGAUAUGGGAAAUCAUGAAUUCAAGCUCAUUAUCAAGUCUAGAGAGGAGGAUGAAGAAGAACUUAGACUGAUGUGGCAAGUUGACUCGGAUCUGCGAAAUUGGAAAUUUCAUUUCUGUUUUCUUCUACUUCUUUUCUUGAUCAUUUUCCAACAAUUUUUCGAGUUUCUGAAGAAAUGAAGGCAGCUAAAUGUUGUGCACACCCAACUUUAAGGCAAAACCCCUUUUCCUCUGUACUUAAUAAGACAACUUGAUUAUUGAUUGCCAACUUUAGUAUUUCAAUUUGCAAUUGUUAAUUCACUU